rnacentral:rRNA from 1 species
CCUACGGGUGGCUGCAGUGGGGAAUAUUGGACAAUGGGCGAAAGCCUGAUCCAGCCAUGCCGCGUGUGUGAAGAAGGCCUUCGGGUUGUAAAGCACUUUCAGUGGGGAAGAAAGCCUUGGGGCUAAUACCCUCGAGGAAGGACAUCACCCACAGAAGAAGCACCGGCUAACUCCGUGCCAGCAGCCGCGGUAAUACGGAGGGUGCGAGCGUUAAUCGGAAUUACUGGGCGUAAAGCGCGCGUAGGCGGUCUGAUAAGCCGGUUGUGAAAGCCCCGGGCUCAACCUGGGAACGGCAUCCGGAACUGUCAGGCUAGAGUGCAGGAGAGGAAGGUAGAAUUCCCGGUGUAGCGGAGAAAUGCGUAGAGAUCGGGAGGAAUACCAGUGGCGAAGGCGGCCUUCUGGACUGACACUGACGCUGAGGUGCGAAAGCGUGGGUAGCAAACAGGGUUAGAUACCCGAGUAGUC